UGGGGAAUAUUGCACAAUGGGCGCAAGCCUGAUGCAGCCAUGCCGCGUGUAUGAAGAAGGCCUUCGGGUUGUAAAGUACUUUCAGCGGGGAGGAAGGGAGUAAAGUUAAUACCUUUGCUCAUUGACGUUACCCGCAGAAGAAGCACCGGCUAACUCCGUGCCAGCAGCCGCGGUAAUACGGAGGGUGCAAGCGUUAAUCGGAAUUACUGGGCGUAAAGCGCACGCAGGCGGUUUGUUAAGUCAGAUGUGAAAUCCCCGGGCUCAACCUGGGACCUGCAUCUGAUACUGGCAAGCUUGAGUCUCGUAGAGGGGGGUAGAAUUCCAGGUGUAGCGAUGAAAUGCGUAGAGAUCUGGAGGAAUACCGGUGGCGAAGGCGGCCCCCUGGACGAAGACUGACGCUCAGGUGCGAAAGCGUGGGGAGCAAACAGG
rnacentral:rRNA from 1 species